GCACUACUAAGGAGUCCCACAAUAGGACGAAACGGCCGUCCAGUGC
rfam:Schistosoma margrebowiei strain Zambia genome assembly, scaffold: SMRZ_contig0000229